rnacentral:rRNA from 1 species
UUGGAGGGCAAGUCUGGUGCCAGCAGCCGCGGUAAUUCCAGCUCCAAUAGCGUAUAUUAAAGUUGUUGCAGUUAAAAAGCUCGUAGUUGAAUUUCGGGGUUAGUAGGUUGGUCAUGCCUCUGGUAUGUACUGGUCUCACUGAUUCCUCCUUCCUGAUAAUCCGUAAUGCCAUUUAUUUGGUGUUGCGGGGAAUUUGGACUGUUACUUUGAAAAAAUUAGAGUGUUUAAAGCAAGCUAACGCUUGAAUACAUUAGCAUGGAAUAAUGAAAUAGGACGUUCGAUCCUAUUUUGUUGGUUUCUAGGAUUGACGUAAUGAUUAAUAGGGAUAGUUGGGGGCAUUAGUAUUCAAUUGUCAGAGGUGAAAUUCUUGGAUUUAUUGAAGACUAACUACUGCGAAAGCAUUUGCCAAGGAUGUUUUCAUUAAUCAAGAACGAAAGUUAGGGGAUCGAAGACGAUCAGAUACCGUCGUAGUCUUAACCAUAAACUAUGCCGACUAGGGAUCGGAUGAUGUUAAUUUUUUAAUGACUCAUUCGGCGCCUUACGGGAAAC